rnacentral:lncRNA from 1 species
CUAUGCUUGCUAUACAUGGAUGACUACUGAGUGCCAAUAUGAACUUUGGCGUUUUUCUAAGACUACUUGCAGUGGUUUCCACAUUUCUCCUUCAGACCAAAGUCUAUAGUGCUGAAGUUCGCGCAGUUACGACAAUCUCUGAUAUAAUACAGCAACUACUUAAAGGGCAACAAUCAUCUACACAAACAUGGACUACUGCAGUGACUCCAUCCAUUGAGGCAAAUCCAUUUACUCCAACAGAGGUAGAAAAAGCUACUGAGGAAACUGCAGUUUCCCCUACAGUAGUCCAUAAUGUGUCCGGCCAAGCACCGACAAUGCAGGAGCAAACCAUCCCUUCACCAAAUUCAACUGUGGUGGAUGCAAAGGCCCCCAAUGACAUCCCUUCAACAUCUGACAUAGUCACAUCAGUUCCAAUCAACUUCACAGAAUUAAAUUCAACUCUGAACCCAUCUGUAACAAUUACGUCUGGAUCAACUGUAACAUCAUCGCCAACUGUAAUAACAGAAUUACUUACAUCAAAAACAUCCUUGGCAUUACCAGAAGAACCGUCAACAACAGUGUCCACUACUGUACCAACACAAUCUAGUUCGACAAUUGAAUCUCUAACAGUAGCAUCAACAAUACAAUCAAUUCCAGGAGAAGUUACAUCUUCUGCCACCACUGAAUUAUCAAAUGGAAUCUCAACCAGUGCUCAUGAAAUGUCUACGCAAAUGUCUGGAUCUGUAACAGCAUUAACAGAUAAGUCAACUCAGUCCAUGUUAUCCACAACUGAAUCUAGUACAGUAACAACACAACCAUCCACAGAAACAGGAGUAACAUCAGACUUUGUAGUAACAACAACACAUCAGCAAGAAAAAACAACUGCAGCAGUCGUAUUAACCACAACACUAUUACAGUUCUCUUCAAUACCAAGUACAUCGUCUGUAACAACUGCAUUUACAACACAAACUGUGUCCACUACUGCACCAACACAAUCUAGUACUACAGGAGAAUCUGUAACAGAAGCAUCAACUAUACAACCUACACCAUCCAAGGAUUCACCAACACAAACUCAAACAGAAAGCACAGCAGGACCAAAACAAUUACCACAAAGCACAGUGACUUCAGCAACAGAAUAUGCAACAUCUCAAACAUCAACAUCAACUGUAGUACCUCCCACAGUUGUUGGAUCAACAGCGAAUGGCAACACAACAUCAACACAAAGUGGAUCAGUGACUUCAUCAGGGGAAACUACACCAGUCAUUCUAACAUCACAACAAGGAGCAAUAGAAACCAAAGUUGCAACUACACAAGUGACACCUCAAGGAGAAGUUACACCAAAUGCAACAACUGAGUCUCUGAAGGAAAUCACAAGCAAUAAUCAUCAAACUACAUCAACUGCAGCAACAGCAACAACACAACAAACACAAUCAAUGGGAACAGGAGUAACACCACCAACAGAACUUGUAACGUCAACAACACAUCAACCAGACCAACAAACAUCAACAGAAUUAACCUCAACACCACCAACACAAAGGGCAUCAUCUGUAACAACUGCAUUUACAACACAAACUGUGUCCUCUACUACACCAACACAAUCUAGUCCUACCAAAGAAUCAACUACAACACAAACUUCACCAUCCAUAGUUUCACCAACACAAACACAAUCAUACAGUUCAGUUGAAACACAACUGACACAAAGCACAGUGUCUGCAGCAACAGAAUCAGCCACAGUACAAACAUCAACAGCUAUUGGCAGCACAUCAACAAACAGUGGAUCAGUGAUUACAUCAACUCAAACUACAACAUCCACUGAGGCACCACUGCAAACAUUGCAAUCAACAACUCCAGGACAAACUACAUCAUCUGCAACUACUGAAUCACCAAGUGAAAUCUCAACCAGUACUGAAGUAACUACAGAAAAUCUUGUAACGUCUACACAAACCCCUGUAUCUAUAACAAGAGCAUCAACAACUGCAGCAGGUACAGUGACGACACAGCCAGAAACAGUAACGACAACAGCAGACCUUGUAAUAUCAACAACACAACAAGACAAACAAACAUCUGUAGCAACAGAAUUAACAACACCAUUACAAAAUAAUUUAACACAAUCUAUGUUUUCUGUAACACAACAACCCAUAGAUAACCAAACUACUCAUACAACACAGCUUACAACUGUAACAACACCAUCCACUACUGUGACAUCUGCUACAACAUCUGUAAACACAGAAUCUGUAACAUCUUCAACAUUAUCAGUAGAAACACUCACAACUUUAAGUCAAACUGAGGAACCAACCACCAGUCAGAGCACACCUUCAGCAGAAUCAACCACAACACCAAUACAAAUGAUUGCAACAUCAAAAUCAACACCACAUAGCAGUCCAACCCAAUCUGCAACAUCACAAACGUUGUCAUCAACAGAGACAUCUCCCUCUAGUGGAUUGAUAACAACUUACAGUACAACGUCCACACACAGUGGAUCAGUGAUUACAUCAACUCAAACUACAACAUUCACUGAAAUACCACUACAGAGAUCAACAGAAAUCACUGAUACGACCACACAGUCAACUUCAGCACAAGCUACAUCUACUGACACUACUGAAUUACCUAAAACAACAUUAUUCAGAGAAACUCAGUCCAUGUUAUCCACAACUGAAUCUACUACAAUAACAACACAACCAUCCACAGAAACAGCAGUAACAUCAGACUUUGUAGUAACAACAACACAUCAGCAAGACAAAACAACUGCAGCAGUCGAACUAACCACAACAUCAUUACAGUUCUCUUCAAUACCAAGUACAUCGUCUGUAACAACUCCAUUUACAACACAAACUGUGUCCACUACUGCACCAACACAAUCUAGUACUACAGGAGAAUCUGUAACAGAAGCAUCAACUAUACAACCUACACCAUCCAAGGUUUCACCAACACAAACUCAAACAGAAAGCACAGCAGGACCAACACAAUUACCACAAAGCACAGUGACUUCAGCAACAGAAUAUGCAACAUCUCAAACAUCAACAUCAACUGUAGUACCUCCCACAGUUGUUGGAUCAACAGCGAAUGGCAACACAACAUCAACACAAAGUGGAUCAGUGACUUCAUCAGGGGAAACUACACCAGUCAUUCUAACAUCACAACAAGGAGCAAUAGAAAACAAAGUUGCAACUACACAAGUGACACCUCAAGGAGAAAUCACAUCUAAUGCAACAACCGAGUCUCUGAAGGAAAUCACAACUAAUAAUCAUCAAACUACAUCAACUGCAGCAAUAAAAACAACACAACAAACACAAUCAAUGGGAACAGGAGUAACAUCAACAACUCAUCAACCAGACCAACAAACAUCAACAUCAACAGUAAUUUUAACCACAAGUGGUAAAUUAGUAACUUCAGAAGAAUCAAUGACAACACUAUUAGAAACAACUUCAGUAAUAAGUACAUCAUCUGUAACAGCGGCAUUCACAGAACAAACGGUCUCCACACAAUUCAGCUCUACAAGAGAAUAUGUAACAGAAACAUCAACACAAACUUCACCAUCUAUGGUUUCAACAACACAAACAGAAUCAGAAAGUACAGUUGAAGUACAAUUGACACAAAGCACAGGAUCAGCCACAGUACAAACAUCAACAUCAACAUUAGUACCUCCUCCCACAGUCGUUGGAUCAACAGCGAAUAACAGCACAUCAACACACGGUAAAUCAGUGACUACAUCAACUGAAACUACAACAUCAACUGAGGCACCACUGCAAACAUUGCAAUCAACAAUUCCAGGUCAAACUACAUCUUCCUCAACUACUGAAUCACCAAGUGAAAUCUCAACCAGUACUGAAGUAUCUACAGAAAAUCUUGUAACGUCUACACAAACCCCUGUGUCUAUAACAACAGCAUCCACAACUACCAAAGUUGCAACUACACAAGUGACACCUCCAGGAGAAGUUACAUCUAACGCAACAACUGAAUCUCUGAAGGAAAUCACAAGCAAUAAUCAUCAAACUACAUCAACUGCAGCAACAGCAACAACACAACAAACACAAUCAAUGGGAACAGGAGUAACACCACCAACAGAACUUCUAACAUCAACAACACAUCAACCAGACCAACAAACAUCAACAGAAUUAACCUCAACACCACCAACACAAAGGGCAUCAUCUGUAACAACUGCAUUUACAACACAAACUGUGUCCACUACUACACUAACACAAUCUAGUCCUACCAAAGAAUCAACUACAACACAAACUUCACCAUCCAUGGUUUCACCUACACAAACACAAUCAUACAGUUCAGUUGAAACACAACUGACACAAAGCACAGUGUCUGCAGCAACAGAAUCAGCCACAGUACAAACAUCAACAUCAAAAGCUAUUGGCAGCACAUCAACAAACAGUGGAUCAGUGACUACAUCAACUCAAACUACAACAUCCACUGAGGCACCACUGCAAACAUCGCAAUCAAAAACUCCAAGACAAACUACAUCAUCUCCAACUACUGAAUCACCAAGUGAAAUCUCAACCAGUACUGAAGUAACUACAGAAAAUCUUGUAACGUCUACACAAACCCCUGUAUCUAUAACAAGAGCAUCCACAACUGAAGCAGGUACAGUGACGACACAGCCAGAAACAGUAAUGACAACAGCAGACCUUGUAAUAUCAACAACACAACAAGACAAACAAACAUCUGUAGCAACAGAAUUAACAACACCUUUAGAAAAUAAUUUAACACAAACUAUGUUUUCUGUAACACAACAACCCAUGGACAACCAAACUACUCAUACAACACAGCUUACAACUGUAACAACACCAUCCACUACUGUGACAUCUGCUACAACAUCUGUAAACACUGAAUCUGUAACAUCUUCAACAUUAUCAGUAGAAACACUCACAACUUUAAGUCAAACUGAGGAACCAACCAUCAGUCAGAGCACACCUUCAGCAGAGUCAACCACAACACCAAUACAAAUGAUUGCAACAUCAAAAUCAACACCACAUAGCAGUACAACCCAAUCUGCAACAUCACAGACGUUGUCAUCAACAGAAACAUCUCCCUCUAGUGGAUUGAUAACAACUUACAGUACAACGUCCACACACAGUGGAUCAGUGAGUACAUCAACGGAAACUACAUCAUUCACUGGAAUAUCACUACAGAGAUCAACAGAAAUCACUGAUACGACCACACAGUCAACUUCAGCACAAGUUAUAUCUACUGAUACUACUGAAUUACCUAUAACAUCAUUGAGAGAAACUUCAACUCAGUCCAUGUUAUCCACAAUUGAAUCUACUACAAUAACAACACAAGCAUCCACAGAAACAGCAGUAACAUCAGACUUUGUAGUAACAACAACACAUCAGCAAGACAAAACAACUGCAGCAGCCGAAUUAACCACAACAUCAUUACAGUUCUCUUUAAUACCAAGUACAUCGUCUAUAACAACUCCAUUUACAACACAAACUGUGUCCACUACUGCACCAACACAAUCUAGUACUACAGGAGAAUCUGUAACAGAAGCAUCAACUAUACAACCUACACCAUCCAAGGUUUCACCAACACAAACUCAAACAGAAAGCACAGCAGGACCAACACAAUUACCACAAAGCACAGUGACUUCAGCAACAGAAUACGCAACAUCUCAAACAUCAACAUCAACUGUAGUACCUCCCACAGUUGUUGGAUCAACAGCGAAUGGCAACACAACAUCAACACAAAGUAGGUCAGUGACUUCAUCAGGGGAAACUACACCAGUCAUUCUAACAUCACAACAAGGAGCAAUAGAAAACAAAGUUGCAACUACACAAGUGACACCUCAAGGAGAAAUCACAUCUAAUGCAACAACUGAGUCUCUGAAGGAAAUCACAACCAAUAAUCAUCAAACUACAUCAAAUUCUUCAACGUCUAUACUGUCAUCAACAUCCAUUGAAACGUCAACUCAGUCCAUAACAUCCACAACUGCAGAUGUAACAGCAACAACACAACAAAUACAAUCAAUGGGAACAGGAGUAACACCACCAACAGAACUUCUAACAUCAACAACACAUCAACCAGACCAACAAACAUCAACAGAAUUAACCUCAACACCACCAACACAAAGGGCAUCAUCUGUAACAGCUGCAUUUACAACACAAACUGUGCCCACUACUACACCAACACAAUCUAGUCCUACCAAAGAAUCAACUACAACACAAACUUCACCAUCCAUAGUUUCACCAACACAAACAGAAACGGAAAGUACAGCUGAAGUACAAUUGACACAAAGCACAGGAUCGGCCACAGUACAAACAUCAACAUCAACAUUAGUACCUCCUCCCACAGAGGUUGAAUUAAAAGCUAAUAACAGCACAACGUCAACACAGAGUGAAUCAGUGACUACAUCAACUCAAACUACAACAUCCACUGAGGCACCGCUGCAAACAUUGCAAUCAACAACUCCAGGACAAUCUACAUCUUCUGCAACUACUGAAUCACCAAGUGAAAUCUCAACCAGUACUGAAGUAACUACAGAAAAUCUUGUAACGUCUACACAAACCCCUGUAUCUAUAACAACAGCAUCCACAACUGAAGCAGAUAACCAAACUACUCAUACAACACAGCUUACAACUGUAACAACACCAUCCACUACUGUGACAUCUGCUACCACAUCUGUAAACACAGAAUCUGUAACAUCUGCAACAUUAUCAGUAGAAACACUCACAACUUUAAGACAAACUGAGGAACCAACCACCAGUCAGAGCACACCUUCAGCAGAAUCAACCACAACACCAAUACAAAUGAUUGCAACAUCAAAAUCAACACCACAUAGCAGUACAACCCAAUCUGCAACAUCACAAACGUUGUCAUCAACAGAGACAUCUCCCUCUAGUGGAUUGAUAAAAACUUACAGUACCACGUCCACACACAGUGGAUCAGUGAGUACAUCAACGGAAACUACAUCAUUCACUGGAAUAUCACUACAGAGAUCAACAGAAAUCACUGAUACGACCACACAGUCAACUUCAGCACAAGUUACAUCUACUGACACUACUGAAUUACCUAAAACAACAUCAUUGAGAGAAACUUCAACUCAGUCCAUGUUAUCCACAACUGAAUCUACUACAGUAACAACACAACCAUCCACAGAAACAGCAGUAACACCAGACUUUGUAGUAACAACAACACAUCAGCAAGACAAAACAACUGCAGCAGCCGAAUUAACCACAACACCAUUACAGUUCUCUUCAAUACCAAGUACAUCGUCUAUAACAACUCCAUUUACAACACAAACUGUGUCCACUACUGCACCAACACAAUCUAGUACUACAGGAGAAUCUGUAACAGAAGCAUCAACUAUACAACCUACACCAUCCAAGGUUUCACCAACACAAACUCAAACAGAAAGCACAGCAGGACCAACACAAUUACCACAAAGCACAGUGACUUCAGCAACAGAAUAUGCAACAUCUCAAACAUCAACAUCAACUGUAGUACCUCCCACAGUUGUUGGAUCAACAGCGAAUGGCAACACAACAUCAACACAAAGUGGAUCAGUGACUUCAUCAGGGGAAACUACACCAGUCAUUCUAACAUCACAACAAGGAGCAAUAGAAACCAAAGUUGCAACUACACAAGUGACACCUCCAGGAGAAGUUACACCAAAUGCAACAACUGAGUCUCUGAAGGAAAUCACAACCAAUAAUCAUCAAACUACAUCAAAUUCUUCAACGUCUAUACUGUCAUCAACAUCCAUUGAAACGUCAACUCAGUCCAUAACAUCCACAACUGCAGAUGUAACAGCAACAACACAACAAAUACAAUCAAUGGGAACAGGAGUAACACCACCAACAGAACUUCUAACAUCAACAACUCAUCAACCAGACCAACAAACAUCAACAGAAUUAACCUCAACACCACCAACACAAAGGGCAUCAUCUGUAACAACUGCAUUUACAACACAAACUGUGCCCACUACUACACCAACACAAUCUAGUCCUACCAAAGAAUCAACUACAACACAAACUUCACCAUCUAUGGUUUCACCAACACAAACAGAAUCAGAAAGUACAGCUGAAGUACAAUUGACACAAAGCACAGGAUCAGCCACAGUACAAACAUCAACAUCAACAUUCGUACCUCCUCCCACAGUUGUUGGUUCAAGAGCUAAUAACAGCACAACAUCAACAAACAGUGGAUCAGUGACUACAUCAACUGAAACUACAACAUCCACUGAGGCACAACUGCAAACAUUGCAAUUAACAACUCCAGGACAAACUACAUCUUCUCCAACUACUGAAUCACCAAGUGAAAUCUCAACCAGUACUGAAGUAACUACAGAAAAUCUUGUAACGUCCACACAAACACCUGUAUCUAUAACAACAGCAUCCAUAACUGAAGCCGGUACAGUGACGACACAGCCAGAAACAGCAACGACAACAGCAGACCUUGUAAUAUCAACAACACAACAAGACAAACAAACAUCUGUAGCAACAGAAUUAACAACACCUUUAGAAAAUAAUUUAACACAACCUAUGUUUUCUGUAACACAACAACCCAUAGAUAACCAAACUACUCAUAGAUCACAGCUUACAGCUGUAACAACACCAUCCACUACUGUGACAUCUGCUACAACAUCUGUAAGCACAGAAUCUGUAACAUCAGCACCAUUAUCAGUAGAAACACUCACAACUUUAAGUCAAACUGAGGAACCAACCACGAGUCAGAGCACACCUUCAGCAGAAUCAACCACAACACCAAUACAAAUGAUUGCAACAUCAAAAUCAACACCACAUAGCAGUACAACCCAAUCUGCAACAUCACAAACGUUGGCAUCAACAGAAACAUCUCCCUCUAGUGGAUUGAUAACAACUUACAGUACAACGUCCACACACAGUGGAUCAGUGAGUACAUCAACGGAAACUACAUCAUUCACUGGAAUAUCACUACAGAGAUCAACAGAAAUCACUGAUACGACCACACAGUCAACUUCAGCACAAGUUAUAUCUACUGAUACUACUGAAUUACCUAUAACAUCAUUGAGAGAAAUUUCUACUCAGUCCAUGUUAUCCACAACUGAAUCUACUACAAUAACAACACAACCAUCCACAGAAACAGCAGUAACAUCAGACUUUGUAGUAACAAAAACACAUCAGCAAGACAAAACAACUGCAGCAGCCGAAUUAACCACAACAUCAUUACAGUUCUCUUCAAUACCAAGUACAUCGUCUAUAACAACUCCAUUUACAACACAAACUGUGUCCACUACUGCACCAACACAAUCUAGUACUACAGGAGAAUCUGUAACAGAAGCAUCAACUAUACAACCUACACCAUCCAAGGUUUCACCAACACAAACUCAAACAGAAAGCACAGCAGGACCAACACAAUUACCACAAAGCACAGUGACUUCAGCAACAGAAUACGCAACAUCUCAAACAACUACUUUCGGACUAUUUCCACCCAAAAGUGCUACUGACAGCACAGCAAUGCGCAAUGGGUCAGUGACUACAUCUGGAGAAACUACACCAGUCAUUCUAACAUCACAACAAGGAACAACAGAAACCAAAGUUGCAACUACACAAGUGACACCUCUAGGAGAAGUUACAUCUAAUGCAUCAACUGAAUCUCUGAAGGAAAUCACAACCAAUAAUCAUCAAACUACAUCAAAUUCUUCAACGUCUAUACAGUCAUCAACAUCCAUUGAAACGUCAAUUCAGUCCAUAACCACAACUGCAGAUGUAACAGCAGCAACACAACAAACACAAUCAAUGGUAACAGGAGUAACACCUCCAACAGAACUUCUAACAUCAACAACACAUCAACCAGACCAACAAACAUCAACAGAAUUAACCUCAACACCACCAACACAAAGGGCAUCAUCUGUAACAGCUGCAUUUACAACACAAACUGUGCCCACUACUACACCAACACAAUCUAGUCCUACCAAAGAAUCAACUACAACACAAACUUCACCAUCCAUGGUUUCACCAACACAAACAGAAACCACAGUUUUAACAACCCAAUCAGCACAGAGCAGAGUGGUCGCAAUAACAACGUCUCCAACAUCACAAACAUCAACAGUAAUUCCAACCACAAGUGGUGAAUUGGCAACUUCAGCUGAAUCGACAACAAAACCACCAGAAACAACUUCAGUAAUAAGUACAUCAUCUUUAACAGCGGCAUUCACAGAACAAACGGUCUCCACACAAUUCAGCUCUACAAGAGAAUAUGUAACAGAAACAUCAACACAAACUUCACCAUCUAUGGUUUCAACAACACAAACAGAAUCAGAAAGUACAGUUGAAGUACAAUUGACACAAAGCACAGGAUCAGCCACAGUACAAACAUCAACAUCAACAUUAGUACCUUCUCCCACAGUCGUUGGAUCAACAGCUAAUAGCAGCACAACAUCAACAAACAGUGGUUCAGUGACUACAUCAACUGAAACUACAACAUCAACUGAGGCACCACUGCAAACAUUGCAAUCAACAAUUCCAGGUCAAACUACAUCUUCCUCAACUACUGAAUCACCAAGUGAAAUCUCAACCAGUACUGAAGUAUCUACAGAAAAUCUUGUAACGUCUACACAAACCCCUGUAUCUAUAACAACAGCAUCCACAACUGCAGCAGGUACAGUGACGACACAGCCAGAAUUAACAACACCAUUACAAAAUAAUUUAACACAAUCUAUGUUUUCUGUAACACAACAACCCAUGGCCAACCAAACUACUCAUACAACACAGCUUACAGCUGUAACCACAGCUUCAACUACUGUGACAUCUGAUACAACAUCUGUAAGCACAGAAUCUGUAACAUCUUCAACAUUAUCAGUAGAAACACUCACAACUUUAAGACAAACUGAGGAACCAACCACCAGUCAGAGCACACCUUCAGCAGAGUCAACCACAACACUGGAUGCAACACAAACGGGAAAAUCUGUUGAAGCUGUGUCUACGUCAACACUAACAGACUUCAGAGGAAUCACUGGGGCAUCUAAUGGGAACAGUUCUUCAACAGUUAUGCAAACCAACAUGACUGUGACUCCUGCAUCCAUCGGUACUCCUGUCCAAAAUAACAUUACACGACCUCAAGGUAAUACCACUCCUCUUCCUGUUGGAAAUACAGUGUUUUUCCAACAUAUUCCCAAAGUUGCUACUCUGGAGCCCCUUGCCUUUGAUUACCCCACUGUGAUCCGAACCACAUUCCGAGUUUCCAAUGCCUCAAGUGCAGACUCUCCAGGUCGGAACAACUGAUAUCCCACCAAACUGAAAGUCUGAAAGCCUCGUUUUCAGUCACCACAACACAUUCACUAACAAAGGAGACCUGCUUUGUAACUCUGUUUAUAUUCCCAUUUGAAAACCAAAGAAAAACACGUUUUAUCUUCAGCCAGUCUCAAAAUAAGCUGAUUUUGUGCAUGUGACACCAUUAAUACAGUGAGGUUUCUGCCACUGAAUGUGUGUGAACUGAUAAUACCAGUGCUGUGUGUUUUGAUUAAAACAAGGACAGAGGAAACAAACUGGGAACUGAAAGGUACAUUUAUUUAUUCCAAAUGACAUACAGUGUAAAAUCAUUUUCGAAGGAUACAGCUGAGUCCUAUUUUAAGCCUAUUCUAAAAUAAAAAAAGACAAAAUCACAUGUAUACAAAAAAUCAUUGUUGACAAUUAUGUAACACAUUUAUUUUCAAAGUUUUUCUCUGAUACUCCUAAUUUAUUUGGUUCUUAUUCUGUAUUUGUGGAUUCUAUUGCCAUUUAGUCUGUGUUCAGAUAGAAUCAUCUUUACAACUUUUCUUUUAAACCUGAUGUGAUGUGACCACCCUUGAGAUUUCUUAUUUGACUUGACAAAUUAGUCAGUACGCAGUAACCGCUGAAAAUCAGACAAUGCUUUUGAAUAGUGGCUCAAUAACUGUCAAUGAGACUUCUGCACCUGUCGACAGGUAUUUUGUUUCACUCCUUGUGAGCAAGCUGCUCCAGCUGUCCCAGGUUUAAAGAGAAAUUUCAUUGUACCCCUGCACAGAUUUAAGACACCCUGUGCCAGAUGCAGCAGAGCAGCCCCAGAACAUAACGGAGCCUCCUCCAUGUUUCACAGUAGGGACAGUGUUUGUGUACGAGAACACUAGAGUGUUCUUUUCUUUAUAUGCUUCAUUUUUGCAUCUGUGAACAUAAAGAUGAUGGGGCUUGCCAAAACGCUCCAGUUUUGUCUCAUUUGUCCAAAGGACAUUCUCCCAGAAGCUUUUUGGCUUUUAAACAUGCACUGUGGCAAAUUCCAUUCUCGUGUUUUUAUGAUCAGCUUUCAACAAUGGUGUCCUUCUUGGUCGUCUUCCACUCAAACAAUGCUGGAUGGUGCGAUCUGACACUGACAUACCUUUACCUUGGAGUUCACCUUUAACUUCUUUGGUUGUUGUUCUGGGCUCUUUGAUUACCGUUCGUAUCCGUCUCUUCAAUUUGUCAUCAAUUUUUCUCUUCGGGCCACGUCCAGGGAGGAAGGCUACAGUCCCAUGGACCUUAAACCUCUAAAAAAUAUGUGCAACUCUAAUUACAGGAACACCAAGCUGCUUGCAGAUGGUCUUACAACCUUCACCUUUAACAACUUUUUCUAUAAUUUUCAUUCUAAUGUGUGCGUGGAACAUGCCAUCUCAUCAAACAGCACAGUGACCACUUUUAACCCUUUAAAUAGGCAGACUGAUUGAUCAUAAGUUUGAAGAGACCUCUGAAUCAGAGGACACACCUUCAUAAAACAUCUCUCUGUGGUCAAACAGUUUUUAAUCUUUUCUAGGGGCACCAUCAUUUUUGUCUAGGCCUGUUUACUUAGUUAGAUUUUUAAGAUGAUUCUAUUGAACAAUUGUGGGUUUUUCUUUCAUUAACAGAGGGGUACCAACAAUUUUGUUAAUUUUUAUUCCACUUAUCACGAAUACCAGUGUGAAUAUUGUGAAUUUUUUAAAUAAUACUCUGCAUUGGUUUGUACUAAACAAGAUACAUAAUAAUAAGAUAACAAGAAGAUUAUGCUUCUUGUUGUGUUCCUGGUUUGGCUGAACGAUAAAGAUAGCAAACCACAGAAACGUUGUAGAAAUGUACAAAUAUAUAAAAAUGUAAUGCAUUUUGAAAUACAAACAUACACAGAGGGGUGUACUAAUGUGUCUUACAUCUCAAUCCAUUUAAUUAAAUAAAUUAAUCUAUGUCCAGAGUAUAUUUCCAUUCAAUUCUGACUGUUAUCACCUAUUGAUAACACAUUAUUUACUGUAUAAUUUAUGUAAUUCAUUCAUUUUUUGUGAAGGCACUGUAACUUUAGUCUGCAUUAAACACAAUAAUGGAGGCCUUGGUCAUACAGCAUUUUACUGCAGGUGACAAUAAGAUAGUUGGAACUUACAGAUGAAAAAUAAAGCCAUCACUAACCCACCACCAAACUGGUCAUGCUGAAAGAUGUUACGUGAACGUAAUGUUCUCCACAGCUUCUCCAGACUCAUCUUCAUGUCUGUGGUCAAAGUGAACCUGCUCUCAUCUGUGAAAAGCACAUGGUGUCAGUGGCAGACUGGGACUUCUGGUGUUCUAUGGCAAAUUCCAAUUGUCAUAACCUCGCUCAAAGGAAGGGCAAAUAGAAGAGGACAUGAAAUUAAAUUAGUGGUGUAGUGUGUGUAUGUAUGCAUGGAAAUGAAAAUAAAAAAAAAAAAAAAAAACAAAACAGAAAGGCAACUUAGGCCACAUCACAAACCAGUUUUUAUGCCUCGAAGGAAGAGUCAAGACAAUGAGCCAUAAAAGUCCAAGAACUGCCCACACAAGACCAGACAGGAAGCAAAAAGGGCUGUCACUGAGGGCUCACUAGAGGGUGUUGAGCCCUCAGGCCACUUUGUGGCCUGCACGUCUAUAUGUUAUAUAUCAUGAAGUUUAGGUCAAAAGAGCCACCAUGGGGCCUAAACACCAUUUUUUUGGUGGCCUUUUUUGGUUUUGGGAGGCACCAAGUACUAAUUGUUGCAAGGGGAGGAAGGAUUUGUACUAUAAUAAAGUUGGGAUAACCCUUUAAAAUGUGGUGUAGGAACUAAUAUAAUACUAUUAUUGUUGGAUUAU